CGUGGAUAAGAUUUUUAGAUAAAAUUUAAGAGAAGAUUACGUGAUCGCACCAUACGUAUUCGAAAUGAAAUGGAUUGUGGCCAGAAACAAGCAAGGCGACAAGCACAUGCAAAGUAAGGUAGGAUUCAAGUGACUUUAUUGCAAUAUAAGGAUUCAAGUAUGAAUUUUAUUGAAGCAGAAACAAACAUAGAGGGCAUAACCAAGCAAACAAGACCACAUGCCUUCAACUCUUUUUAUUUUAUUUUAUUUUUUUUUUUUGUGGAAUGAAUUUCUUCAAUUUUAACUCCUGUCGGGAUUAUAU